UAUUAGAGUUGGCUGAGCAUGAAAACCAUAAUACAUUAUGCCAAGGAAUCUGUUAUCACUGUGAUGUAACACAGAGAAAUGGUCAGAAUAACCAGAAGAAUGGCCAGAAAGAGGUGUGGCCAAGGAUGUAGCCAGAGGACUCUAGAUGAAUGAAGGUAAUCUUGAGGGGAAGGGAGCUCAAAGAGUCUGGAGGCGAAUUUUAAGCCUUUUCAGACUCUACUGCCUUAUUCAUCCUAACUGUUUCAGGAUAUUCCCCUUCCCACAGUGGAGAAGUCUCUAUUAUGUAAUCUUAAAUACAGAUCUAAGCCCAGGAGAUAAAGUGUAUAAGAAAUGA
rnacentral:lncRNA from 1 species